rnacentral:rRNA from 1 species
AGAGUUUGAUCCUGGCUCAGGACGAACGCUGGCGGCGUGCUUAACACAUGCAAGUCGAACGAAAAGACGGAAAGAGCUUGCUCUUUUCAGAAUUGAGUGGCAAACGGGUGAGUAACACGUAAACAACCUGCCUUCAGGAUGGGGACAACAGACGGAAACGACUGCUAAUACCGAAUAAGUUCCAAGAGCCGCAUGGCCCAUGGAAGAAAAGGUGGCCUCUACCUGUAAGCUAUCGCCUGAAGAGGGGUUUGCGUCUGAUUAGCUGGUUGGAGGGGUAACGGCCCACCAAGGCGACGAUCAGUAGCCGGUCUGAGAGGAUGAACGGCCACACUGGAACUGAGACACGGUCCAGACUCCUACGGGAGGCAGCAGUGGGGAAUCUUCCGCAAUGGGCGAAAGCCUGACGGAGCAACGCCGCGUGAGUGAUGACGGCCUUCGGGUUGUAAAACUCUGUGAUCCGGGACGAAAAGGCAGAGUGCGAAGAACAAACUGCAUUGACGGUACCGGAAAAGCAAGCCACGGCUAACUACGUGCCAGCAGCCGCGGUAAUACGUAGGUGGCAAGCGUUGUCCGGAAUUAUUGGGCGUAAAGCGCGCGCAGGCGGCUUCCCAAGUCCCUCUUAAAAGUGCGGGGCUUAACCCCGUGAUGGGAAGGAAACUGGGAAGCUGGAGUAUCGGAGAGGAAAGUGGAAUUCCUAGUGUAGCGGUGAAAUGCGUAGAGAUUAGGAAGAACACCGGUGGCGAAGGCGACUUUCUGGACGAAAACUGACGCUGAGGCGCGAAAGCGUGGGGAGCAAACAGGAUUAGAUACCCUGGUAGUCCACGCCGUAAACGAUGGAUACUAGGUGUGGGGGGUCUGACCCCCUCCGUGCCGCAGUUAACACAAUAAGUAUCCCACCUGGGGAGUACGAUCGCAAGGUUGAAACUCAAAGGAAUUGACGGGGGCCCGCACAAGCGGUGGAGUAUGUGGUUUAAUUCGACGCAACGCGAAGAACCUUACCAGGUCUUGACAUUGAUCGCGAUCUGCAGAAAUGCGGAGUUCUUCUUCGGAAGACGAGAAAACAGGUGGUGCACGGCUGUCGUCAGCUCGUGUCGUGAGAUGUUGGGUUAAGUCCCGCAACGAGCGCAACCC